AAGACUAAAAAUUAGGCUGCUAACCUAAAAAAAAUGAUUCUCAUUUAGUCUUU
rnacentral:tRNA from 1 species